AGAUAGAGAAGUCACAGUACCAACUAGUUUCAGAUUUGGGACGGAGGAAUUUGGAAGGAAAUAGUUUGAAUACGAAUAAUUGUCGUGAUCUUGUUAUUAUAAGAAUUUGAGGCCAGCCGAACAAAUACCGAUCCAAAUCUAAUAAGAAAAACUUUAUACUUUUAAACUUGUUGUUAUAUAGUACCACGAUACUAACAAGCCAAAACAAACUAAAGAUUAAACAAGAAAAAAAGAGAAAGUAAUCUUUAUAUUUUUUGAGAUAUUAAAGCAGCAUUAAUUUGGAGGAUCGUCAAAUAAUAUCUUGUGCAAAUAUCAAUAUUAUUCACAAUGUUUAGCAAGUAUCUAGUAAUGUUAACAGUUAACCUCUUUGCAGUAAUUAUUGGAGGACUUAUAAUAAUAGCAUCACCAAUUUCAGAUUUAAUAAAGAUUAUUCUGUCAUAUCUGAUACUAGGAAUUGGACUAGCCCUAGAUAUAUUUUUAAUACAUACAUACUAUAGUCAACAUUAUCAACAAACGGCGCCAGAGGCCCCGGCCGAAGAAAAUUCCAUGGAUGCGUUUAUUCCAAACAACCGCCGUAGACCACGUAAUGGGAAUGCUGCACAUCCGAUUGAGGCUCAAGCAUGGGGUGUUCAAGGAUAAUGAUAUUAUAUAUUAAUGCGCUUCCGAAAGAAUUGAAUUUAACAUCCAAGUAUUGUUGUAUUAUUGUUACAUAUCUCUCAUGUUAUUUUAUACUUAUCGAUGGAGAUGAUCCUUCGCUUUACAGUGACUUUGACAGCAGUGAGUUGUUAGUGCGCGCGUGACAUAAUACGCGUAUACAUAUUUAUACCAUAUUUAAAA
rnacentral:lncRNA from 1 species